AGAUUAAGCCAUGCAUGUCUCAGUACAAGCUAAAUUAAAGUGAAACCGCGAAUGGCUCAUUACAACAGCCGUUGUUCCCUAGAGACUAUCGAUACUUGGAUAACUGUGGCAAUUCUAGAGCUAAUACACGCACUGAAGCCCUAACCUCGCGGAAAGGGUGCAUUUAUUAGAACAAAACCAAUCGGGGCAACCCGCCAGUUGGUGAAUCUGAAUAACCCAGCUGAUCGCACGGUCUUUGCACCGGCGACGCAUCUUUCAAGUGUCUGCCUUAUCAACUUUCGAUGGUAGUUUAUGUGACUACCAUGGUUAUAACGGGUAACGGAGAAUAAGGGUUCGACUCCGGAGAGGGAGCCUGAGAAACGGCUACCACAUCCAAGGAG
rnacentral:rRNA from 1 species